CCACUAUGGUCGUCAUUAUGAUGCUCAUUUAGUAUAUCUGGUUGAUUACCUCACUAACUCAUUUCAUUAAAAAAAGAAAAAUGAAAUGCUGGUGUUAAUGCUGGAAGUGAAGAAAAUUUAUGUUUUUGAUAUCCGUGUCGAUUUUUUUGGGAUUCAAGCUUAAUACGGAAAACUUAUAUUGUGAAAUAACUUAUAAUAAACAUUUAUUCACCACCGGUGCACGUUGUUCUUUUUUACACAGUUUCAAAGGCAUCACGUUAAAUUGAAAGAGAGAAAAGCUUCACUUAUGAGGAAAUGAAACGUGCUACAAAUAAUUUUGAUGUUGGUAGUGAAAUUUGGCAGAGUGGGUAUGGAAAAGUAUACAAAGGCAUCUUUUUGCUUAGAUUAUGUGAUGAAGAAGGCAAACUGGAGGAAUGCUCAUCUUAGAAAGUCAUGCAUCAUGGCGGUUAGCAGGCAAUUAUUCAUCAUUUUUUCAUUGUGUUGGAUCAAGUGAAAAGUGCUUUAAGCUAAUUUUAAUGUCUUGCAUAGCCGUCAAUUUUUAACAAAAGGGCAUGGAAACUAUUAUAUUAUAUCAUUCAUGUUUCCCUUCUUUUAGGACCGGAUCAUCAUAAAUAGAAAUAUAUAUUUUGGUGUCAUCUUGAUAAUGCAUUCAAGGGAGCCAAUUUUGAUGCAAAGAACUCCUCUUCUAUAACUGGUACAUUCUUGUGCAAGGAGUUCACUAUUUCAUUUUAUUUGUUUGUUCAGGACCAUCUAAGUUGAGUAUGUAUCUAAAUUGGGUGGUCAAAGAGGUUGGUUAACGGGUCAAAGUGGGUUGGCGUAAAACAUGUAAAUUUAUAGGGUGGGUCAAGAUCAGUAGCGUUUAACUGCCAUCACUUUAUUUGCAAUCUUUAUCAAAAUUUUAUUCAGAAUAUGCACGCUUCUUUAUACACUCGAAGUUAAGAUAUGUUCAUUUGACUUCGGUUAUUUGUCUCCAUUUUAAGCAUGCUUUAUAACAAUAAUCUUGAAGGAAACAUGCCCGAAAAGUUGAGAACCUCAAUUUUUGUGUUUACCAACUCUGUGCAAGACUCACCUGUUUGACGUAGGUCCUUUUCAAGUUUUGUGUUAUCAUUAAUUAUAUGUCUUUCAAGAGGUACUAAACGCUCAGACAAGUGAUGAUGGUUCACACAUCAUGAUUGGCAAGGGACCCGGUGCUGGAUAUAAUAUAAAUGUUCCAUGGGAGAGUGCUGCUAAAGGACAACGACUACUAGGGCAAGGAUUGAGAAGGCUGAUCGUGAAUGUUUAACAUUUGACCCGCUGGCUCUUAGAGCUCCACUUGGACAGAACAUGGUUCUACUUAGAGCUCCAAAGAGUGCUUGUGAGGCAUCCAAGCACUUUUGAAAAGCGCCUGGUGUCCGACACAGUCACACCGUAAGUUUUGGUGUUUGGCAAUGGAAUUCGACACUGAGGAAAAAUUUCUACAAUCUGAACGUUGCUACCUCACGAUACACAGUCCAGAGAUAUCCUCGAAAUGCAUAUUGUGGUGGGGUUAUUGGAAGGGGCUAGCAUUGCUUUCUGUGGUACUGUAAUAGUGGGGUGUUGGAGCUUGUGGAGGGUGAGAAAUAACUUGGAAGUUCUCGAAUAAACCGGUUCAUAUUGAAGACAUUAUUAGCGAAGUAACGUCGGUUGGCUUCUUAUGGUUUAGAAGUAGAUUGAAGUUUAAAGAAUUAUCUUGGGAGAAUUCGUGUAAAUUUCUAAUUAUGUAGUCAUGUUUUGUGGUCGGCCCGGUUUGGGUCGGUGUGUUUUUCUAAUCAAGU